rnacentral:rRNA from 1 species
CCUACGGGAGGCAGCAGUGAGGAAUAUUGGUCAAUGGACGAGAGUCUGAACCAGCCAAGUAGCGUGAAGGAUGACUGCCCUAUGGGUUGUAAACUUCUUUUAUAUGGGAAUAAAACGUUCCACGUGUGGGAUUUUGUAUGUACCAUAUGAAUAAGGAUCGGCUAACUCCGUGCCAGCAGCCGCGGUAAUACGGAGGAUCCGAGCGUUAUCCGGAUUUAUUGGGUUUAAAGGGAGCGUAGGUGGAUUGUUAAGUCAGUUGUGAAAGUUUGCGGCUCAACCGUAAAAUUGCAGUUGAAACUGGCAGUCUUGAGUACAGUAGAGGUGGGCGGAAUUCGUGGUGUAGCGGUGAAAUGCUUAGAUAUCACGAAGAACUCCGAUUGCGAAGGCAGUUCACUGGACUGCAACUGACACUGAGGCUCGAAAGUGUGGGUAUCAAACAGGAUUAGAUACCCCAGUGUC